UACGUAGGGGGCAAGCGUUGUCCGGAAUUAUUGGGCGUAGAGCGCGCGCAGGCGGUCAUUUAAGUCUGGUGUUUAAUCCUGGGGCUCAACCCCGGGUCGCACUGGAAACUGGGUGGCUUGAGUACAGAAGAGGAGAGUGGAAUUCCACGUGUAGCGGUGAAAUGCGUAGAUAUGUGGAGGAACACCAGUGGCGAAGGCGACUCCCUGGGCUGUAACUGACGCUGAGGCGCGAAAGCGUGGGGAGCAAACAGG
rnacentral:rRNA from 1 species